UCGAACGUAAGAUGACUGUAGGUGAAAGACUUACAUCUCUUCGGAGCAUUUUACGAGGUGCUGCAUGGUUGUCGUCAGCUCGUGCCGUGAGGUGUCGGGUUAAGUCCCAUAACGAGCGCAACCCCUACCUUUAGUUGCCAUCAGGUUAAGCUGGGGACUCUAAAGGAACUGCCUACGCAAGUAGUGAGGAAGCGGGGAUGACGUCAAAUCAGCACGGCCCUUACGUCCAGGGCUACACACGUGCUACAAUGGCCGAUACAGAGGGCAGCUACCUGGUGACAGGAUGCAAAUCUCCAAAGUCGGUCUCAGUUCGGAUCGGAGUCUGCAACCCGACUCCGUGAAGUUGGAUUCGCUAGUAAUCGCGCAUCAGCCAUGGCGCGGUGAAUACGUUCCCGGGCCUU
rnacentral:rRNA from 1 species